rnacentral:lncRNA from 1 species
UUUAUGAAAUGUAAUAGUUUUGUUAUAAGACAUGACACUUUUACAAUAAUAACCUUGUUUACUAUUGGUGGCUUUCUUAUAAUAUGACUCAUAAAUAAAAAAAUUAUUGGCUUUAUUAACUAACAUUGUUUUAUGUUUUACUUAUUAAAGCGGACAGUUUUAAUUGUGUGCUAAAUUAUUCUCGAUAACUUCUAAGAGCGAAUGAAUGUAAUUAUACAAUUAUUCGUUUUUAGAAAUACCAAACAAGCAAUUUUGAACUUAACCGCUAACAUAGACACAUUUACAAAGUAUCCCUAGGCAUCUUGGAUAUUCAGGAGGGUCACAACGAUAUCUGCGACAAUCUUGAUCAGAAUCACAUAUAGUAACCGCUAUGAUGAUAAAUAAAAAAUAAAUAAAAAAUUGUUAGUAACAUGCGAUGAAACGUUGAGUAUCAAAUUAAGAGUUUUUUUUUUUUUUUUUUGCAAUAAUAAACUUACCGUUGGUUACGAUGGUGAGCAUGUAAAGAUAAAUAAUCAUAGCAAAAACAACCUUGAUAAUAUCACCCAUAUUAUUU